rnacentral:rRNA from 1 species
AAGCCGAAUUAAGGUGAAACCGCGAAAGGCUCAUUAAAUCAGUUAUGGUUCCUUAGAUCUUACCACUUUCCACUUGGAUACCUGUGGUAAUUCUAGAGCUAAUACAUGCAAACAGAGCUCCGACCGGGGACGGGAGGAGUGCUUUUAUUACAACAAAACCAAUCGGCGGGCGGCCUCGCGCCGUCCGUCGUACAACAUGGUGAAUCUGAAUAACUUGGCUGAUCGCGCACGGUCCAGCACCGGCGACGUAUCUUUCAAAUGUCUGCCUUAUCAACUGUCGAUGGUAGGCACUGCGCCUACCAUGGUUGUAACGGGUAACGGGGAAUCAGGGUUCGAUUCCGGAGAGGGAGCCUGAGAAACGGCUACCACAUCCAAGGAAGGCAGCAGGCGCGCAAAUUACCCACUCCCGGCACGGGGAGGUAGUGACGAAAAAUAACGAUACGGGACUCAUCCGAGGCCCCGUAAUCGGAAUGAGUACACUUUAAAUCCUUUAACAAGGAUCAAUUGGAGGGCAAGUCUGGUGCCAGCAGCCGCGGUAACUCCAGCUCCAAUAGCGUAUAUUAAAGUUGUUGCGGUUAAAAAGCUCGUAGUCGAAUCUGUGUCCCGCGCCGCCGGUUCAUCGCUCGCGGUGUUCAACUGGCGGGCCCGCGGGACGUCCUGCCGGUGAGCUCAGCCCUCGAGGGGGCGGCUCAACUUGUACACCCGUCGCGGUGCUCUUCACUGAGUGUCGAGGUGGGCCGGCACGAUUACUUUUGAACAAAUUAGGGUGCUUAAAGCAGGCUAAAACUUUGCCUGAAUACUGUGUAUAUGGAAUAAUGGAAUAGGACCUCGGUUCUAUUUUGUUGGUUUUCGGAGCCCCGAGGUAAUGAUUAAUAGGAACGGAUGGGGGCAUUCGUAUUGCGACGUUAGAGGUGAAAUUCUUGGAUCGUCGCAAGACGGACUUAAGCGAAAGCAUUUGCCAAAAACGCUUUCAUUGAUCAAGAACGAAAGUUAGAGGUUCGAAGGCGAUCAGAUACCGCCCUAGUUCUAACCAUAAACUAUGCCAGCUAGCGAUCCGCCGACGUCCCUCUGAUGACUCGGCGGGCAGCUUCCGGGAAACCAAAGCUUUUGGGUUCCGGGGGAAGUAUGGUUGCAAAGCUGAAACUUAAAGGAAUUGACGGAAGGGCACCACCAGGAGUGGAGCCUGCGGCUUAAUUUGACUCAACACGGGACAACUCACCAGGCCCGGACACUGGGAGGAUUGACAGAUUGAUAGCUCUUUCUUGAUUCAGUGGGUGGUGGUGCAUGGCCGUUCUUAGUCGGUGGAGCGAUUUGUCAGGUUAAUUCCGAUAACGGACGAGACUCUAACCUGAUAACUAGACGCAGACACGGCAUCUCAAAGGUCCGCCGGCGCGGGCCUCGCGUCCGUCGCCGUGCGCGAUUUUUACUGCCGGCGUAAAAUCAAUUCUUCUUAGAGGGACAAGCGGCUCCUAGCCGCACGAGAUUGAGCAAUAACAGGUCUGUGAUGCCCUUAGAUGUUCUGGGCCGCACGCGCGCUACACUGAAGGAAUCAGCGUGUCCUCCCUGGCCGAAAGGCCCGGGUAACCCGCUGAACCUCCUUCGUGCUAGGGAUUGGGGCUUGCAAUUGUUCCCCAUGAACGAGGAAUUCCCAGUAAGCGCGAGUCAUAAGCUCGCGUUGAUUACGUCCCUGCCCUUUGUACACACCGCCCGUCGCUACUACUGAUUGAAUGAUUUAGUGAGGUCUUCGGACCGGUGCGCGGGGGCGUUCCGACGUCGCCGAUGUUGCUGGGAAGAUGACCAAACUUGAUCAUUUAGAAGAAGUAA